UACGGAGGGUGCGAGCGUUGUCCGGAAUCACUGGGCGUAAAGGGCGCGUAGGCGGCGCGACAAGUCAACGGUGAAAGCUCGGGGCUCAACCCCGAGUCGGCCGUCGAUACUGUUGGGCUGGAGCACUGUAGAGGCAGGUGGAAUUCCGGGUGUAGCGGUGGAAUGCGUAGAGAUCCGGAAGAACACCGGUGGCGAAGGCGGCCUGCUGGGCAGUAGCUGACGCUGAGGCGCGACAGCGUGGGGAGCAAACAGG
rnacentral:rRNA from 1 species